ACCAAAUGCUUGAAUAACCCUCGUGAUGUGAUAGAUUACCUUGAGCGGGCUAUUAGAGAAUCAAUGCGUGCGGGAAACAAGUUCUUAUUAGCCCCUUGUUUUGAGGAUCUACAUUGGAGCCUUAUGGUGAUUUGUGUUUCCAAUAACACAAUCUACUACUUUGACUCGGCUCGUAUAUGGCCACCAAGGAAGUUGCUAGUGAAUAACCUAUUGAAUAGUGUUAUGAAGAAGUUGAAUUGUCGUUCGGUUGCGGGUCCCACGUGGAAAUAUGCGAAG